rnacentral:rRNA from 1 species
CCUACGGGCGGCAGCAGUGAGGAAUAUUGGUCAAUGGACGCAAGUCUGAACCAGCCAUGCCGCGUGCAGGAAGACGGCUCUAUGAGUUGUAAACUGCUUUUGUACGAGGGUAAACGCAGAUACGCGUAUCUGUCUGAAAGUAUCGUACGCAUAAGGAUCGGCUAACUCCGUGCCAGCAGCCGCGGUAAUACGGAGGAUUCAAGCGUUAUCCGGAUUUAUUGGGUUUAAAGGGUGCGUAGGCGGUCGGAUAAGUUAGAGGUGAAAUCCCGAGGCUCAACUUCGGAAUUGCCUCUGAUACUGUUCGGCGAGAGAGUAGUUGCGGUAGGCGGAAUGUAUGGUGUAGCGGUGAAAUGCUUAGAGAUCAUACAGAACACCGAUUGCGAAGGCAGCUUACCAAGCUACUUCUGACGUUGAGGCACGAAAGCGUGGGGAGCAAACAGGAUUAGAUACCCGAGUAGUC